AGUGGCGCACGGGUGCGUAACGCGUGGGAACCUGCCUUUAGGUUCGGAAUAACAGUUAGAAAUGACUGCUAAUACCGGAUAAUGUCUUCGGACCAAAGAUUUAUCGCCUUUAGAUGGGCCCGCGUAGGAUUAGAUAGUUGGUGGGGUAAUGGCCUACCAAGUCGACGAUCCUUAGCUGGUCUGAGAGGAUGAUCAGCCACACUGGGACUGAGACACGGCCCAGACUCCUACGGGAGGCAGCAGUGGGGAAUAUUGGACAAUGGGCGAAAGCCUGAUCCAGCAAUGCCGCGUGAGUGAUGAAGGCCUUAGGGUUGUAAAGCUCUUUUACCAGGGAUGAUAAUGACAGUACCUGGAGAAUAAGCUCCGGCUAACUCCGUGCCAGCAGCCGCGGUAAUACGGAGGGAGCUAGCGUUGUUCGGAAUUACUGGGCGUAAAGCGCACGUAGGCGGCUUUCCAAGUCAGGGGUGAAAUCCCGGGGCUCAACCCCGGAACUGCCCUUGAAACUGGAUGGCUAGAAUACUGGAGAGGUGAGUGGAAUUCCGAGUGUAGAGGUGAAAUUCGUAGAUAUUCGGAAGAACACCAGUGGCGAAGCGACUCACUGGACAGUUAUUGACGCUGAGUGCGAAAGCGUGGGGAGCAACAGGAUUAGAUACCUGUAGUCCACGCCGU
rnacentral:rRNA from 1 species